ACGGGAGGCAGCAGUAAGGGAUAUUGGGCAAUGGGGGGAACCCUGACCCAGCCAUGCCGCGUGAGGGAAUGAGGCCCUACGGGUCGUGAACCUCUUUUGCCUGGGGAUAACCCCUCCCGCGCGACGGGGGGCUGCAGGUACCAGGCGAAUAAGCAUCGGCUAACUCCGUGCCAGCAGCCGCGGUAAUACGGAGGAUGCGAGCGUUAUCCGGAUUUAUUGGGUUUAAAGGGAGCGUAGGCCGUGCUUUAAGCGUGUUGUGAAAUGUAGGCGCCCAACGUCUGCACUGCAGCGCGAACUGGAGCACUUGAGUACGCAGGAAGUAGGCGGAAUUCGUCGUGUAGCGGUGAAAUGCUUAGAUAUGACGAAGAACUCCGAUUGGGAAGCCAGCUUACUGUAGCGCCACUGACGCUGAUGCUCGAAAGCGUGGGUAUCGAACAGGAUUAGAUACCCUGGUA
rnacentral:rRNA from 1 species